CUACGGGCGGCUCCAGUGAGGAAUUUUGCGCAAUGGGGGAAACCCUGACGCAGCAACGCCGCGUGAGCGAAGAAGGCCCUCGGGUCGUAAAGCUCUGUCAAGUGGGAAAAAAGCCUUUUGAUCAAUACCCAAAAGGUUUGAUGGUACCACUGGAGGAAGCACCGGCUAAGUCCGUGCCAGCAGCCGCGGUAAUACGGAGGGUGCAAGCGUUGUUCGGAAUUACUGGGCGUAAAGGGCGUGCAGGCGGUUUGGCAAGUCAGAUGUGAAAGCCCUGGGCUUAACCCGGGAAGUGCAUUUGAAACUGCCUUUCUUGAGUAUGGGAGAGGAGAGUGGAAUUCCCAGUGUAGAGGUGAAAUUCGUAGAUAUUGGGAGGAACACCCGUGGCGAAGGCGACUCUCUGGACCAAUACUGACGCUGAGACGCGAAAGCGUGGGGAGCAAACAGGAUUAGAUACCCCGGUAGUC
rnacentral:rRNA from 1 species